rnacentral:rRNA from 1 species
CGAAGGGGGCGAGCGUUAUUCGGAAUCACUGGGCGUAAAGCGUGCGUAGGCUGUCUAGAAAGUUGGAAGUGAAAGCCCAGGGCUCAACCCUGGAAUUGCUUUCAAAACUACUAGACUCGGAUUUGGGAGAGGAUAGCGGAAUUGUCAGUGUAGCAGUGAAAUGCGUAGAUAUUGACAGGAACACCGGUGCGUAAGCGGCUAUCUGGACCAACAUCGACGCUGAGGCACGAAAGCGUGGGGAUCAAACAGGAUUAGAUACCCUGGUAGUCCACGCCGUAAACGAUGUGUGCUUGUCGCUGGGGAGUUCACUCUUCGGUGACGCAGCUAACGCGUUAAGCACACCGCCUGGGAAGUACGGCCGCAAGGUUA